rnacentral:rRNA from 1 species
UACGGAGGGAGCUAGCGUUGUUCGGAAUUACUGGGCGUAAAGCGCACGUAGGCGGCUUUGUAAGUUAGAGGUGAAAGCCCGGGGCUCAACCCCGGAAUUGCCUUUAAGACUGCAUCGCUUGAAUCCAGGAGAGGUAAGUGGAACUCCGAGUGUAGAGGUGAAAUUCGUAGAUAUUCGGAAGAACACCAGUGGCGAAGGCGGCUUACUGGUCCGGUACUGGACGCUGAGGUGCGAAAGCGUGGGGAGCAAACAGG